UGGGUGAGUAACGCGCGGGUAACCUGCCCUUAAGUCUGGGAUACCAUUUGGAAACAGAUGCUAAUACCGGAUAAAAGCUACUUUCGCAUGAAAGAAGUUUAAAAGGCGGCGUAAGCUGUCGCUAAAGGAUGGACCUGCGAUGCAUUAGCUAGUUGGUAAGGUAACGGCUUACCAAGGCGAUGAUGCAUAGCCGAGUUGAGAGACUGAUCGGCCACAUUGGGACUGAGACACGGCCCAAACUCCUACGGGAGGCAGCAGGG
rnacentral:rRNA from 1 species